UCCUUUCUAAACUCACUCUCAUUUAUAUGUUGAACCUUGAAGAGAAAAACUUGACCAAUCAAACUAUUUUCAAUAUCAGGGGCACUUACAUCAGAUUUUUCAACCUGGUAAACACACCAUGAUUUAGAAUGUAAGAAUAUAACAAUAGGUAAACAAAGUAGAAAAACAUUAAAAAAAAUAUAUACCUCAUGAUAUUGAGCAAUAACUUCAGUUGCUUUGCUGCCCAAUAACUUAAACUCUUUCUAUCCUACAAAUAUAUACCUACAUAGUAUAUCACAAUCCAUACAUAAAUACUAUAAAUAAAUAAAUAAAACAUUUUAACUCAAAAAAAUGCAAGAGGAAGUUCUUUGUGUACUCGAUAUAGCCUUGGAUGCCAUGAUGUAAUCUCCACAUCUAAACAUCUCGACUAUGGUCCUCUCCAACCAUGCUAGCACCUAUGCCUUGGUGCCUUGGUGGAAGAGCUCACAUCUAACUCAUUUUAGUUAGAAUCAACACGUCAAUAUUAAGAUUGAUGAUCAACUUAUGGCAGAGAAAAGUAUCACAAUUUCUAUCACUGUUAGUAUAGGUAACUCUUUCAAAUGCAAUAUACCUCUAAAUUUUGAGAAUACAUUACAAUUGAUCCUCAGAAUAAACCUCUAAAUUUUUUGUUCCUGAAAAAAAAAAAGNNNNNNNNNNNNNNNNNNNNNNNNNNNNNNNNNNNNNNNNNNNNNNNNNNNNNNNNNNNNNNNNNNNNNNNNNNNNNNNNNNNNNNNNNNNNNNNNNNNNNNNNNNNNNNNNNNNAAAAACCAAGCACCUGAGACAAAGAAACACUAUUAAUAUAUCUAGCUGUGGAUCAGGAAGAGUGACAAUAUAUGAACUCAUGGCCAAAGCAGUUCUGUUGGAUAAAACUAUAUAAGAAUAAGAGUAUAACCAAAGCUGUAAGAAAAGUACAAACUUGAGGAACUACCAAAACUGUAAAAAAGUGAUAAGCCUAUAUAUCCCUCUCAUAACACAUAUCAAAUCAAGAUAUUAACGUCUUAAUUGUUCGCCUCACCCUAUAUGGUAUAAUGGAAUUAAAGCAAGAGAACAAUGUGAGUGAAAUAUUUUGUUACUAAUCUUAUUCACAGUGUAGGGACGAUCCUUUCUAAACUCACUCUCAUUUAUAUGUUGAACCUUGAAGAGAAAAACUUGACCAAUCAAACUAUUUUCAAUAUCAGGGGCACUUACAUCAGAUUUUUCAACCUGGUAAACACACCAUGAUUUAGAAUGUAAGAAUAUAACAAUAGAUAAACAAAGUAGAAAAACAUUAAAAAAAUAUAUACCUCAUGAUAUUGAGCAAUAACUUCAGUUGCUUUGCUGCCCAAUAACUUAAACUCUUUCUAUCCUACAAAUAUAUACCUACAUAGUAUAUCACAAUCCAUACAUAAAUACUAUAAAUAAAUAAAUAAAACAUUUUAACUCAAAAAAAUGCAAGAGGAUGUUCUUUGUGUACUCGAUAUAGCCUUGGAUGCCAUGAUGUAAUCUCCACAUCUAAACAUCUCGACUAUGGUCCUCUCCAACCAUGCUAGCACCUAUGCCUUGGUGCCUUGGUGGAAGAGCUCACAUCUAACUCAUUUUAGUUAGAAUCAACACGUCAAUAUUAAGAUUGAUGAUCAACUUAUGGCAGAGAAAAGUAUCACAAUUUCUAUCACUGUUAGUAUAGGUAACUCUUUCAAAAUGCAAUAUACCUCUAAAUUUUUGAGAAUACAUUACAAUUGAUCCUCAGAAUAAACCUCUAAAUUUUUUGUUCCUGAAAAAAAAAAAGAGGCACAAAACUGUGAGCUUUAUUGUUCCACAGGAUUGUAUUUAGACAUAGUAAUCACGUCUUCAAACAAUAAUUUAUACAGACCACAACCUUACCAACAAAAAUCCAUGUUUUGCACCUACUCAUUCUGCAAUUGCUGAGUCUUCUUAGCACUCGAGAAAUACUACCAAAAAACCAAGCACCUGAGACAAAGAAACACUAUUAAUAUAUCUAGCUGUGGAUCAGGAAGAGUGACAAUAUAUGAACUCAUGGCCAUCAAUAUUUCACAGAAUGCAAUCCCAUCAAUACCGCAGAGUCAUAGCUUAAACCUUAACAAUCGGUCAAUUAUAACAUAAAUUAAGGUCAGUACGAAAACCAAGCACCAAAAUAGACAAAAAAAAAGAAGAAGAAAAGAAUAAUCAUCGCGCAGAUAGGGUAGCAUUCGAAUUAACAAAUCCAAUUUUCUCAAAUGUAAAAGAAAAAAAACGGUGAAAGAUGGCAUCCUAUGAGAACUUGCCAGAAAAUUUCAGUGAUUAUUUCAAAUCAAAAUCUACAGAAAUAUAUCGCAGAAGAGGAGAUGAAGAGAGUACCUGAAGAGGGAGAAGCAGCAAGGAAACAAAGGCUGGAGCUGUUGAACGAUGGGCGGCCUUUAUGAGCUUUUUAUAUGAGAAGCAGCGCCAAAAACCCUAACACUAACACCCUUUGUGACUUAU
rnacentral:lncRNA from 1 species